UACGUAGGUGGCAAGCGUUGUCCGGAUUUAUUGGGUUUAAAGGGUGCGUAGGCGGCCUUAUAAGUCAGUGCUGAAAUAUCCCGGCUUAACCGGGAGGGUGGCAUUGAUACUGUAGGGCUUGGGUGUAGUCGAGGUAGGCGGAAUUGACGGUGUAGCGGUGAAAUGCUUAGAUAUCGUCAAGAACACCGAUAGUGUAGACAGCUUACUAGGCUACAACUGACGCUGAGGCACGAAAGUGUGGGGAUCAAACAGG
rnacentral:rRNA from 1 species